UUACCAAGCCAAGGUCAGAGAGAAGCUGUAACCCUGGGAGUUUAAUACCAGCCUGGAGAGGCCCGUAUGAAUUUUUAGAAUCCUUGCGGGCCCCCAGCUUCCGCACUCGGAGUGCCAGAGUGGGGAUUCAGCCUUGACAGUUGUGAUGUUACCCAGCGUCAUUCCUACACGUCUGUCAUGGGUUCAUCCUGCUGAGUAUAAGAUCGUUGCCCCCUCAGACAACACCUCCCCACGCCCAGUCCAUCACAUCCCACUGACACCAAGUAUUCUCUCAUUUCUCGCGGAAGCUGUGUCAGCUGUGACGGGGCAAGGCCAGAUGGCUAUAGAAAAGUAGUGGGAGAUAGAUAUAUUAGCUCCAGGCUAAACAAAUCCCUGGUACCAGGAUAAGUGAAAUGGAAGCUGCUCCAGGUCAAUUAAGACACCUGGGGCCAAUUAAGAACUUUCCAGAAGGCAGGGAGAAGGCUAGGUUGAUUGGGACACCUGAAGCCAAUCAGGGGCUGGAUGAAACUAGUUAAAAGCCUCCCAGUCAGUCAGGUGGGUGUGCAUGUCAGGAGCUGUGGGAGGAAGUUGCGCUGUUGGAGAGGCUGAGUAGUACACACCAUAUCAGGCACAAGGAAGGAGGCCCUUAGGUAAGGGUGAAGUGGAGCUUGAGGAAGUGAGGGCUGCUGUGGGAGAAGUAGCCCAGGGAAUUGUACAGGUCAUGUUUCUAAAAGGUCAGCUACCAUAGCUGAUACUAUUAGGGUCCCUGGGCUGGAGCCCGGAGUAGAGGGUGGGCCCGGGCUCCCCGCCUGCCACCUUUGCCCCCUGAUUAAUCACUGAGACUGGGAGACAACAGAGACUGUGCAAGGAAGGAUAACUUCUCCUCACCUCCCUCGCUGGCUUAUGAUGAAAACGGCUCAGUAGACUGUGACCCUUGUCUCUAGAGAAAGAAAGGUUACGUGGAGGGUCACAGUGAGCCUCUGAGGCUAGCGAAACCCGCCAGGAAACGUGGGACCCACGGAGGCAAGGACAGAGCUUUGUCACACAGUUUCCUGUAGUUCACAAAGUACGUACAGCAAAGUUCUCCAUGAGCGGGUCGAAGAAUUCUCCUCUUUUUAUCCAGGCUUGCAGUCGGCACUGUGGCGAACAGUGAGAGAGUUACACAGCCGGCCUCCGCAAUGCGCCGAAAUGGUUGCCGAUUUCCAAAACGGAUGUGAUCUCCCAGCUGGGAAAAGGGGAAGAACCCUGUCUCUUACAAUGCUGCAUCUGCAGUGCUGUAAGGAAGAAGCUCUGAGAGCUCUCACAUCCGCUCAGUUAAUCCACCUCCCCAGGAGGUGGGAGCUAUGUCAGCAAGAGACGCUUUCCUGCCAACACGGUGUGGUCUAUAUGGGGCGUUAGGUCAGUAUAACUAAAUCGUUCAGGGGUGUGGAUUUUUCACACCCCGAAGCAAUGCAGUUAUACCAGUAUAGGACUGCAGCGUAGACCAGAUUUUGGUUUUGCUCUUGUGUUGUGUGCGUUUGCAACCUUUCUCCUCUACGCCCUCCUACUUUGAAAGAUUAAAAAGUGUGAAAAUACAAGGAAGGUGUUUUUUCUCAUGAUGCAAACGUUCCCCCAGAGGAGACCCCUUGGCACCAACACCCACCGCAGAAGAUCUGGAGAUCUGCGAACUCCCAUGAGUGGGACCACAACUUGACUCAAAGGUUCACUUAGUGACUGUCCUAAUUAAAGGAAAACUAAGACCUAGGGCAAGUUUUUGUGAUCUUUGAAUAUGUUACCUGAUUAUAGAGAGUUGUGUAUUAUUGUUAUAGGGUCACCAAUUGAUCUGACCAGAAGAGAAGUUCCUUAUCCUGGAAUCAGGCUACCUGUGUUAACCAGGUGUGACAACCUUAAUUAUAUUGGAAAACUGGAA